CUUGUGGAGAGUAUACAAAGAUGUAAUUAGUAUUUAGAGUUAUCUAAUACGAAAGCAUGCUCGAUGAAACAAGAA
rnacentral:sRNA from 12 species